rnacentral:rRNA from 1 species
GACGGGGGGGUCCUAGCGUUGUUCGGAAUUAUUGGGCGUAAAGCGUGCGUAGGUGGCUAUGUAAGUCAGGAGUGAAAGCCCUGGGCUCAACCCAGGAAGUGCUUUUUGAUACUGCAUAGCUUGAAUGUGGGAGAGGAUAGUGGAAUUCCAGGUGUAGUGGUGAAAUACGUAGAUAUCUGGAGGAACACCGGUGGCGAAGGCGGCUAUCUGGCCCAACAUUGACACUGAAGCACGAAAGCGUGGGGAUCAAACAGG